AAGUCGUAACAAGGUUUCCGUAGGUGAACCUGCGGAAGGAUCAUUACAGAGUUCAUGCCCUAACGGGUAGACCUCCCACCCUUGUGUAUUUAUACUUUGUUGCUUUGGCGGAGAGUGGCCUCACAUCCACGCACUGAGAAGUACUCCGCCAGAGGAAACCUAAAUUCUGAUUAUUAAUGUCGUCUGAGUACUAUAUAAUAGUUAAAACUUUCAACAACGGAUCUCUUGGUUCUG
rnacentral:misc_RNA from 1 species